rnacentral:rRNA from 1 species
CCUACGGGAGGCUGCAGUGAGGAAUAUUGGUCAAUGGACGCAAGUCUGAACCAGCCAUGCCGCGUGAAGGAUGAAGGCCUUCUGGGUUGUAAACUUCUUUUAUCUGGGAAGAAAAGCAUUGUUUCUACGAUGUCCGACGACGGUACCAGAGGAAUAAGCACCGGCUAACUCCGUGCCAGCAGCCGCGGUAAUACGGAGGGUGCAAGCGUUAUCCGGAUUUACUGGGUUUAAAGGGUGUGUAGGCGGGCUAUUAAGUCAGUGGUGAAAUCUCCGGG